CGGGGCGUAGCGCAGUCUGGCAGCGCACUUGCUUCGGGAGCAAGGGGUCGUUGGUUCAAAUCCAAUCGCCCCGACCA
rnacentral:tRNA from 2 species